rnacentral:misc_RNA from 1 species
UUCAAGAUUGAGGAGAAGCAGAAGCAGGUGAUUGUGGAGAAACUUGGUGAGCCAACAAAUAGCUAUGAGGACUUCACUGCAAGCCUUCCAGCUGAUGAGUGCCGAUAUGCUGUCUAUGAUUUUGAUUAUGUAACGGAUGAGAACUGCCAGAAGAGUAGGAUUGUAUUUAUUGCUUGGUCUCCUGAUACAUCGAAAGUGAGAAGCAAGAUGAUUUAUGCUAGUUCCAAGGACAGGUUCAAGAGGGAAUUGGACGGUAUCCAGGUAGAGUUGCAAGCUACUGAUCCUACAGAAAUGGGCCUCGAUGUUAUUAGAAGCCGAUCAAAUUGAAU